AUUGAACGCUGGCGGCAGGCCUAACACAUGCAAGUCGAGCGGAGCGGCGGACGGGUGAGUAAUGCCUAGGAAUCUGCCUGGUAGUGGGGGAUAACGUCCGGAAACGGGCGCUAAUACCGCAUACUAUCAGAUGAGCCUAGGUCGUAUUAGCUAGUUGGUGGGGUAAAGGCCUACCAAGGCGACGAUCAGUAACUGGUCUGAGAGGAUGAUCAGUCACACUGGAACUGAGACACGUUCCAGACUCCUAUGGGAGGCAGCAGUGGGGAAUAUUGGACAAUGGGCGAAAGCCGGAUCCAGCAAUGCCGCGUGUGUGAAGAAGGUCUUAGGAUUGUAAAGGACUUUAAGCGGGGAGGCGGUACAAGCAGAAGAAGCACCGGCUAACUCCGUGCCAGCAGCCGCGGUAAUAC
rnacentral:rRNA from 1 species